ensembl:lncRNA
AUGUUGAAGGAUGAGAGAACUAAUCAAAAUGUAAAGAGGAUUCUCAGAAAAUAUGUUAAUCAGCACCAUGAUGAUUGGGACAUCCACCUGCAGGCCAUAGUUUAUGGAAUAAACACUGCAAAACAGUCAUCCACCAAGUACAGCCCGUACUUUUUAAUGUACAAUAGGCACCUCCGUCUACCACAGGCAUUAAAUGUCUGUGAGACAAAUGGUACCUUUGAAUUGGUGGACCCAGAGGAGGAGCUGGAGCUAAAACUAGCUGGAGUCAAGGCCCUCAAUGAAACGGUACGGAAAAACAUUGAAAAGGCACAGGGGAAACAAAAAAAGGCUUUUGAGGCAAAGAAAAGGAAAGGGGUUCGCCAGUGCUCAGUUAAGGCAGGGGACGAGGUCCUAAUUGGGGAGCCCAAAAAGAAGGUGAAGAAGGGAAAUUGUUUGCAGGAUCUACACCAAGGGCCAUUCAACCUCACAUCCCUGACAGAGAAGGGUGUGGCUAUGUUAGGGAAAAUACAGAAAGUUAAUGUUGCGCAGCUAAGGCCUUACUUUUGGCCACAAGGUAUUGUAAUAAUCCUACUUGGUUACAUAGCAAAUAUAAACAUGACACUUGACAAUGACGAUUAG